AUUGAACGCUGGCGGCAGGCCUAACACAUGCAAGUCGAACGAGUGGCGGACGGGUGAGUAAUGUAUGGGAAACUGCCUGAUGGCGGGGGCUAACUACUGGAAACGGUAGCUAAUACCGCAUACCCUCCGGUGUGCCCAGAUGGGAUUAGCUAGUUGGUGGGGUAACGGCGCGCCAAGGAGACGAUCCCUAGCUGGUCUGAGAGGAUGACCAGCCACACUGGAACGGAGACACGGUCCAGACUCCUACGGGAGGCAGCAGUGGGGAAUAUGGCACAAUGGGCGCAAGCCGGAUGCAGCCAUGCCGCGUGUAUGAAGAAGGCCUUCGGGUUGUAAAGUACUUUCAGCGGGGAGGCGUUACCCGCAGAAGAAGCACCGGCUAACUCCGUGCCAGCCGCCGCGGUAAUUC
rnacentral:rRNA from 1 species